AUUGAACGCUGGCGGCAGGCUUAACACAUGCAAGUCGAGCGAGCGGCGGUCGCGUGAGUAAUGUCUGGGAAACUGUCUGAUGGAGGGGGAUAACUACUGGCUACGGUAGCUAAUACCGCAUACUACCAUUUGUUCCCAGAUGGGAUUAGCUAGUAGGUGGGGUAUUGGCUCACUUAGGCGACCGUCCCUAGCUGGUCUGAGAGGAUGCCCACCAACACUGGAACUGGGACACGUUCCAGACUCCUACGGAAGGCAGCAUUGGGGAAUAUUGCACAAUGGGCGCAAGCCUGAUGCGGCCAGGCGGCGUGUGUAAGAAAGGCCUUCGGGUUGUAAAGCACUUUCAGCGAGGAGGCGUUACUCACAGAAGAAGCACCGGCUAACUCCGUGCCAGCAGCCGCGGUAAUAC
rnacentral:rRNA from 1 species